CAUGGCAUAUGUACACUCAAUCCACAAGUUUUAAGCUGUGACGGUUAAACGUUUUUCCUCGUAUUUAACCCUUAUAUAAUUCCUGAGUUAAAUUUAUCCCUGAGUUAGUCCCCUUUCUAAUCUAGACCCUUCUCGAAGGGUGCAUAUUUUAAUGGAAUGCUUUGUCCGUAAAAAGCAACCACUGUCCGAUUUCUUCCUCAGUACGAGGUCAACCUCUCUAUGAACAAGUCACUUAAUUAAGAGGUGUCCAAUUUUUGUAAAUCUGCAUAAUUUCCUAGCAAGAAUACAUUGAAUUUGGAGCUGUUCAGUCAAUAUUGGGAAAUUGUAAUGCUGCACCUUUAAAUUGCUUAAUUACUCUCGGUGACAUUCCACUCAAGACUCACGUCAUGGAGAAUAUGCGUUCCAAUUUUUACAUCGACUUUCUCCAAGAUCGGAGUCUUGGUUUGCUCUCCUCGCCAGAUUCUCCAGGUUAAUUAUCUUUAGCAGUAAGUGGAUCACACAUUUGCAUAGUAUUUUCUAGAUUUUCUCAUCUCUAAAACGACCCGAUUCAUGGAAAAAUCUCCAACAUCACGCGGAUUCAAAUAUUUUCCUACAUUUACACCGAUUCAUGAGCACAAUCGGACUUUUUCAUCGGAAAUCGCUUCUUCAUCUCGCCGACACAAGAAGAAAAGUUCCUGCAUCAAAAAGUAACCCCUUCCAGUCUAUUUCGAGUCAGUUUUUAUCUAUUGCAUAGAAAUUUAAAUAGUGAAAUAUUUAUCUUAAAUUCGUUCAUAUUUACAUAAAUAAGUAUAUAUAUUUAAGUUCAUCAUUCAAUUAGAAAUAUUAUGAGAAAUUGUCCUACAUUGUUUUCCUGGCUUCAAACUAAAUUUUCUGUGAAAUUUCUUCAAUACUUGAUAACGUUAUUAAUUAGCUAUCACUAAAUUUUCCUAUUCAUGCCUCUAUCGUAUUUUUAUGUGUAUCAAAUUUCCUCACUAAUUUUAUCAAAUGUUACCAGCAAAGUUUAAAACAUUUGCUAAUUUCUUAUCAAAUUUCGAUGGGGAAAAUUGCUGUACAAAAAUUCUUGGGAACAUUUAAGCAGCGUUUGUCGAAUAUGUAAAUAUUCGUGUCAUCAAUGCAAAAAGUUGAUGACAUCUUUUCUCUCUCGUAAUCCAUACACACUUACGCAAUAUAAAAUAGUACUGACGUAAAUAAUUCUGGAAAUAAUAUAAAAAAAUCUGCCUGUAAAAAACUCA